CUCUACAUACGCUCGUAUAAUAAACCUAUACUCUUUCUCUUUCUCUCUCUAAAACGCAGAAAAAUCUCUCUCUGCUGAACCAGACCAUUUGAGCUUCGGCUUUCCUUUUUUUGUUAGGGUUAUUUUUUUUCUAUGUGAAAAAACGUCGAAUAUAUGGUGUUCUAGCAAAAAAAUCUCAGCGAUAUACAUAUAUUGUUGUGCACAUAUAUAUAUAAUAGUUCUACGCGUGGUUAGUGGCCUCGUUCAACAAUGGCUACGGCACCUGUCAAGUCUCCGCUGCACAACUUUCCUCUCACAUUCUUGAAAUGGGGCGGCGCCAAGAAUCACACUAGCGGCGGUCACCAUCGAUACCGCCGGCCAGUCUCGGCUGAGAGCUCUCCAGUCGCCGAUCAUGGCGAGCUUGACCCGGAGAGGAACGAUUCGGAGCCUGAAGCAGGUCGGACUGGCCGGGUCGGAUCGCGUACAGCUCGGAACAGAUUUGGCUUAGCGUCUUGUUCCCCAACGGAGAAGGCGCAGAAGCAGCAAUUGAGCAACGAGAGCGAUGAAGUUGUAAGAGAAGGGAAGCAGCAGCAGCAUCGAGAUGGAGAAGAAGCUGAGGCCGAGGAGACGGUUCAGAAGCCAUGGAAAUUGAGGCCGAGGAAGGUUCUCUUCUCGAAAGCUGCUUCGACUGGUGUCAAGAAUGGAGAAUUUCAGGAACCAGGGGGGACGGUUGCCGGAGGCGUUGGAGGAAGUGGUCAGAAUCAGAGUGAGAAUCAGAACCAGCAACAGCCGAAAUCGCUGAGGCUAAGGGGAUUCUCGGAGCAGCAGAGUACGGAGAAGAAAGAGAAGAGGAAGUUCUGGAUCGCGCUGUCUAGGGAAGAGAUUGAGGACGAUAUUUUUGUGAUGACUGGGUCAAGGCCUGCUCGGAGGCCGAGGAAGCGGCCCAAGAAUGUUCAGAAACAGCUUGACGCUGUUUUCCCUGGAUUGUGGUUGGUGGGUGUUACUGCUGAUGCUUACCGGAUCGCUGAGGCUCCGCCUAAGAGGUAGAUGAGUUUUAAGUCAAUUGUCACUCUUGAAGCUUGCACCGGGUGAAAGGUUGCAUAUCUGACUUUGAGACCUCAAUUGAGUAUCUCUCUUCAGAUUAGCUAGCCUCAUAUCGGUGUAAAGUCUUUGACAUCUUCUUGUAAACUAGGCACUCUUCAUAGAUACCAUAAAGUAGCUACGAAUGGGAGUUCAUAUAUUUCCAAUGCUGUUUACCUUAAAGGUUUGCACAUGUAGACAGGAAAAUGAGAAGAAAUGGUUUUGUGCAACAACAGCUGUAAAGAGUGUAGAAGCAGAUUCUGAUAGGGACAAUCACUUUUGUGGGUCUUGCCGAAGUCAAGCAGAAUAAACAAGCCAUAACAAUUGCCCUUCUCCUUCACACUCAGUUUGCAAAUCAGCUUAGCUGCUGGUUGUGUACUGCUACAAAUUUUGAUGAAAGUAGAGAACAAUCAAUCCUUUUCUCUGAUUUCCUUCAUAUUAUUCUUGAUGCCCAGGAGCCAGGAGCAAAGGCAAAAUGAAAGGGUAAGAGUCUACACCGAAUGUUGUGUGUGCUGGAGUAGGAAGAUAGAAGAUAUGUUCUACACAGACUUUGGAGAAAAUAGAAAGAACCCAUGAAGCUCCUGCAAUAUUGGGUAAAUUAAAUUUGUUUUCUUUUCCUCCUCUUGCCCUAAUGCUCCGUGCAUAUUCUUUAAUAUUAUUAAAUGUUCACUUGUGCACAAUUAAAGUCUAGAAGAAAAAUAAAUGGGCACUAUUCACUAGCCAAGAAAGAACAAGUUAAUUUAUGAAUAAAAUGUAAGCAUAUGUGGCGUCAUUUAUUAACUCGUUGAAUCAGAAAAAUGCUUAGUAUUGCUGGGUCAA